AGGAGCCGUAUGAGGUGAAAAUCUCAUGUAAGGUUUUGGAACGGAGAAUUCUUUGAAUCGAAUGGUAACUGUAAUGGAUUUCGACUCAAU
rfam:Gossypium hirsutum cultivar TM-1 chromosome 25, whole genome shotgun sequence